GUGGGGAAUAUUGGUCAAUGGGGGCAACCCUGAACCAGCAACGCCGCGUGAAGGAAGAAGGCUUUCGGGUUGUAAACUUCUUUUGCCGGGGACGAAACAAAUGACGGUACCCGGCGAAUAAGCCACGGCUAACUACGUGCCAGCAGCCGCGGUAAUACGUAGGUGGCAAGCGUUGUCCGGAUUUACUGGGUGUAAAGGGCGCGUAGGCGGGAUUGCAAGUCAGAUGUGAAAUGCCGUGGCUUAACCACGGAGCUGCAUUUGAAACUGUAGUUCUUGAGUAUCGGAGAGGCAGGCGGAAUUCCUAGUGUAGCGGUGAAAUGCGUAGAUAUUAGGAGGAACACCAGUGGCGAAGGCGGCCUGCUGGACGACAACUGACGCUGAGGCGCGAAAGCGUGGGGAGCAAACAGG
rnacentral:rRNA from 1 species